rnacentral:rRNA from 1 species
UACGGGGGGGGCAAGCGUUGUUCGGAAUUACUGGGCGUAAAGGGCGCGUAGGCGGUGCUCUAAGUUAGAUGUGAAAACUCUGGGCUCAACCCAGAGCCUGCAUCUAAAACUGGAGUGCUAGAGUUCUGGAGGGGGUAGCGGAAUUCCUGGUGUAGCGGUGAAAUGCGUAGAUAGCAGGAGGAACACCGGUGGCGAAGGCGGUUACCGGGACAGAAACUGACGCUGAGGCGCGAAAGCUAGGGGAGCAAACAGG